rnacentral:rRNA from 1 species
AUUGAACGCUGGCGGCGUGCCUAACACAUGCAAGUCGAGCGGUAACAGGUGUAGCAAUACAUGCUGACGAGCGGCGGACGGGUGAGUAACGCUUGGGAAUCUGCCUAUUAGUGGGGGACAACCCGGGGAAACUCGGGCUAAUACCGCAUACGCUCUACGGAGGAAAGCCGGGGACCGCAAGGCCUGGCGCUAAUAGAUGAGCCCAAGUCGGAUUAGCUAGUUGGUAGGGUAACGGCCACCAAGGCUACGAUCCGUAACUGGUCUGAGAGGACGACCAGUCACACCGGGAACUGAGACACGGUCCGGACUCCUACGGGAGGCAGCAGUGGGGAAUAUUGGACAAUGGGCGCAAGCCUGAUCCAGCCAUGCCGCGUGUGUGAAGAAGGCCUGG